CAUGAAUGGGCAAGUAGACUCUACCCCUACCCUCAAACAGCGCUGGUCUCAGAUCAGAGACGCGAACUCAAACACGUCAGACAGUACGCAUAGCUCCGCCCACAUCUGACUCUGGAUCGGUGCACGAAAAUACUGGAGAGAAGCCUGAAGUCGAAGCCAUCAUGGCCGCCAGCUCCGACUCCCUCCCGUUGGGGGAGAUUGAACGGGCUGUAACGGCAGGUGUGCGGGCUGAGGCUCCGCUUCAAACUGCCGUUCUGUCGUAAACACCAUUAAUGGGGAGUUAAGUAGGUUUAAAUAGAAUAUUUCUGUGGUGCCGGUGGAGAAUUAGUUGGCUAACUAUACUAGCUAGCCGAAGUUACGUCCAGGCUAAAAACAAAAGUUUCCAGAUCAGAUGUGGGCGGGACGGUAAAAUACCGAUGUUUGUAUGAAUUAAAAGUGCAGCGUUAUGUCUAUGCAUUUUUAAAAUUCCUGUUGUGGUUGAUGUGCGAUUUGUAAAGUAAUGAUAAUUCAAUAAUCCAAUACGUUUUAUGGAGAGCAAUUAUUACAUUAAUCUAAUUAGGUUUUUAAAAGUUACCCAAAACACGUAAUAAUAUAAGAAUUUAAUUUCAGUUUUUACAUAGGCGCAAUCCUGCAGGCAUAGAAGAACGUGGCUAAAAAUUAAAUAUAAAAACAUAAUUCAAACAGUUAUAAGGCACGAUCAUAUCAUGGGUGUAGACUACCUGACUACUUCCUGACAACAUUUGACAUAUUAAAUAACUAAAUAGCAUGCAGAGUAUAGCAGUGCAGCAGCAUUUUCAACAUGGCUACAAUGUUUUCACACAGUUAAAUCAUUUGACUUCUACUAAGCCAACAGAACGAAGGCAGAGGCUAGAACAACUGGUGGAGGACCUGCACCACCACCACUGACGCAUGCAAAGGAGAAGGCCCUCAGCAUGAACACUGCAAAGCAGAGGCUGAAGGAAUUCCUGGAGGGAGUUCAUCAGAACCAGUCACUCCCCAGGAUACAAAUGCAUUUGUAAAAUAUUCUGAUGGUAAUAUAUGAAUCCUUCUGUCACAACAGAAGCCCAGGAUGUUGUGAGUAUCAUACUAAAUAAAGCUUAAAUUAUGAUAAGCAGUAUUAUAAAGUGUAAUAUUAAUACAGUUUAUACACAGCACAUGAUUUCAGGGGCCCGUUUCAAGAAGGAGGUUUAACAAACUCUGAGUUAAAACGAAACUCUGAGUUGAUCUACUCUGAGUUUGCAAACCUGGAGUUUUCGGUUCCAGAACAGCUGAAAAGAGUUUGUUUAAGCAACUCUGAGUUGACUGACUCAGAGUUAAGCGCGUGCACCGCGACGAUACAAAGCCCUGAUCAAUGGAGUGAAGAUAUUACGAGUCACCAUGGCAACAGGACAACGAAAGACGUCCUAAAUGGAUAUGAUACGUCAAGCAUAUAGCGUCUACGAGUCUAUAUUCCGUAGAAAAGGCAACACGGCUGCAGCGGCGAAAGAGAAAGAAUUAGCUUGGAAGAAAAUAGCUCCUCGAGUCAAUGCCCAACAGAAAGAAGGCAGAGGCUAAAACAACUGGUGGAGGACCUGCACCUCCUCCACUGACGCAUGCAGAGGAGAAGGCACUCAGCCUGAACACUGGAGAGAGGCUGAGGCUGAAGAAAUUCAUCAGAACCCGUCACUCCCCAGGAUACAAGUGCAUGUGUAAAAUAUUCUGAUGGUAAUAUGUGAAUCUUCCUGUCACAACAGAAGCCCAGGAUGUUAGUGUGGAAGAACAGCAGGAGGAGGUCGGUCACAUUCUGCUGCACAGAUGCACACAGUUCAGUGAUGUUCAGUAAAUGCCAGAGUUCAAUUCUGUAAGAGUAAUGAGGAACAUGUCAUUUCAAGAUGUCAUGUAACUCUAAA